CAGUCGCCACGGUAAUACAGAGGGUGCGAGCGUUAAUCGGAUUUACUGGGCGUAAAGCGUGCGUAGGCGGCUUCUCAAGUCGGAUGUGAAAUCCCUGAGCUUAACUUAGGAAUUGCAUUCGAUACUGGGAAGCUAGAGUAUGGGAGAGGAUGGUAGAAUUCCAGGUGUAGCGGUGAAAUGCGUAGAGAUCUGGAGGAAUACCGAUGGCGAAGGCAGCCAUCUGGCCUAAUACUGACGCUGAGGUACGAAAGCAUGGGGAGCAAACAGGAUUAGAUACCCCCGUAGUCCCUGUCUCUUAUAC
rnacentral:rRNA from 1 species